AGGCUGCUGCGCGGUUCGUCAGGCUGCUUUAUCCCUGGGGCCGAUAACCUAUUACUCUCGGGAGCUGUCCCUGCCGGGAUCUUGGUCUCGGUACAUGGCGCCCACCUGCCUAGGCAGGUCGCAGAGGAUAGCAAAUACGCCAACGGCCAAGCGGCACCUUC
rfam:Skermanella aerolata KACC 11604 strain 5416T-32 contig24, whole genome shotgun sequence.